AUGAACGCUGGCGGCGCGCCUAACACAUGCAAGUCGAACGGCACCCCUCUCCGGAGGGAAGCGAGUGGCGAACGGCUGAGUAACACGUGGAGAACCUGCCCCCUCCCCCGGGAUAGCCGCCCGAAAGGACGGGUAAUACCGGAUACCCCCGGGCGCCGCAUGGCGCCCGGGCUAAAGCCCCGACGGGAGGGGAUGGCUCCGCGGCCCAUCAGGUAGACGGCGGGGUGACGGCCCACCGUGCCGACAACGGGUAGCCGGGUUGAGAGACCGACCGGCCAGAUUGGGACUGAGACACGGCCCAGACUCCUACGGGAGGCAGCAGUGGGGAAUCUUGCGCAAUGGGGGGAACCCUGACGCAGCGACGCCGCGUGCGGGACGGAGGCCUUCGGGUCGUAAACCGCUUUCAGCAGGGAAGAGUCAAGACUGUACCUGCAGAAGAAGCCCCGGCUAACUACGUGCCAGCAGCCGCGGUAAUACGUAGGGGGCGAGCGUUAUCCGGAUUCAUUGGGCGUAAAGCGCGCGUAGGCGGCCCGGCAGGCCGGGGGUCGAAGCGGGGGGCUCAACCCCCCGAAGCCCCCGGAACCUCCGCGGCUUGGGUCCGGUAGGGGAGGGUGGAACACCCGGUGUAGCGGUGGAAUGCGCAGAUAUCGGGUGGAACACCGGUGGCGAAGGCGGCCCUCUGGGCCGAGACCGACGCUGAGGCGCGAAAGCUGGGGGAGCGAACAGGAUUAGAUACCCUGGUAGUCCACGCCGUAAACGAUGAUUGCUAGGUGUAGGUGGGUAUGGACCCAUCGGUGCCGCAGCUAACGCAAUAAGCAAUCCACCUGGGGAGUACGUUCGCAAGAAUGAAACUCAAAGGAAUUGACGGGGGCCCGCACAAGCAGUGGAGUAUGUGGUUUAAUUCGAAGCAACGCGAAGAACCUUACCAGGUCUUGACAUCCUACUAACGAGAUAGAGAUAUGUUAGGUGCCCUUCGGGGAAAGUAGAGACAGGUGGUGCAUGGUUGUCGUCAGCUCGUGUCGUGAGAUGUUGGGUUAAGUCCCGCAACGAGCGCAACCCCCGCCGCGUGUUGCCAUCGGGUGAUGCCGGGAACCCACGCGGGACCGCCGCCGUCAAGGCGGAGGAGGGCGGGGACGACGUCAAGUCAUCAUGCCCCUUAUGCCCUGGGCUGCACACGUGCUACAAUGGCCGGUACAGAGGGAUGCCACCCCGCGAGGGGGAGCGGAUCCCGGAAAGCCGGCCCCAGUUCGGAUUGGGGGCUGCAACCCGCCCCCAUGAAGUCGGAGUUGCUAGUAAUCGCGGAUCAGCAUGCCGCGGUGAAUGCGUUCCCGGGCCUUGUACACACCGCCCGUCACACCACCCGAGUCGUCUGCACCCGAAGUCGCCGGCCCAACCUUUCGAGGGGGGAGGCGCCGAAGGUGUGGAGGGUGAGGGGGGUG
rnacentral:rRNA from 1 species